AACCUAGUGGCGUAACGGUAGCGCGUCUCUUUCCUAUAUAUCUACAUAUGCAUAGGAGAAGGUUGUAGGUUCGAUUCCUACCUUGGUUA
rnacentral:tRNA from 1 species